GUAAGCCGCCAGCUGCCUGGGCGCGCAGGGAGCAAGGCUGGCAGGAYGYGGGCAUGCCGGGGUGCUGGGCUGAGCCGAGCAGCUGGCUGCAAAGGGCAUCUCCUCCUGGAGACGCCAGGAGAGCUGGGGGGAGCUGCGACACAUUUGCCAGGAGGCAUCUGGAGGCAGCCCAUGGGCAGCUGGGUCAGGGACAAGAAGCCUUGCGAGGCCUCAGCAAGGCCAUGCUGCCUGCUGCUAGUGUUUUCCUGCCUGCUCCAGCGGUUCGGGAUACACGUGGCACUUGCAGAGCAUAGGAUAGGCAAGAGCCAUGCUUGGCAGCAGCAGCACUCAGUCAGUCUCUCCUCUUCUCCCAUCUUCCUCCUUGUCCUUGGGUCACAGCAGAAGGGCAGCCCAGCGAGCCAAGCUGCGACGAGGUUAUCGAUGCGGCCCGACAGAUACAUCUGCAACAAAAGGAAAAGGCUGAGCUCUUCUGCCUGCCCUGCGCGGAGGAUGUGGAAGACGAAGAGCAGGAAGAGGCAGCGGAGGCAGAGGAGCCAAGGGAGCCUGCUCGGGGCCGUUCUGCUGGAGCUCUUGCGGGAGGG
rnacentral:lncRNA from 1 species